rfam:Fonsecaea pedrosoi CBS 271.37 unplaced genomic scaffold supercont1.3, whole genome shotgun sequence.
GGGGGAUUGGCGCAAUGGUAGCGCGUGGCUCUCCUACUCAUUUCAUCUACCCUUCAUGGUAUAUUUGAUGAAACACCAAUGACCAUGGAUCAAAAAUGAAAUAGGAAAAAAGCCAAGGUUGUGGGUUCGAGUCCCAUGUUCCUCG